rnacentral:rRNA from 1 species
AACGCGAAGAACCUUACCAGGGCUUGACAUAAUAGAAGUAGUGAAAUGAAAGUGGAACGACCUGUCAAGUCAGGAGCUAUUACAGGUGCUGCAUGGCUGUCGUCAGCUCGUGUCGUGAGAUGUUGGGUUAAGUCCCGCAACGAGCGCAACCAUUAUCCUUUGUUGCCACUUCUUUGCCGCAAGGCUUAAGAAAGCACUCUAAGGAGACUGCCUGGGAUAACCAGGAGGAAGGUGGAGAUGACGUCAAGUCAGUACGGCCUUUAUGCCCUGGGCGACACACGUGUUACAAUGGGUAAGACAGAGGGUCGCCAACCCGCGAGGGGGAGCUAAUCUCUAAAAUUUAUCCUCAGUUCAGAUUGGAGUCUGCAAUUCGACUCCAUGAAGCCGGAAUCGCUAGUAAUGGCAGAUCAGCACGCUGCCGUGAAUACGUUCCCGGGCCUUGUACACACCGAGUAUA